rnacentral:tRNA from 1 species
GGGCGCGUAGCUCAGUUGGUUAGAGUACUAGCUCGACAAGCUAGGUGUCACUGGUUCGAGUCCAGUCGCGCCCACCA